UCAAAAUAGGAAAUCCCUAUAAAUAUGCAUUUACACUUGCAUUUACAUGAUUCAAAAUAGAAAUUUCUAUAAAUAUGCAUUAUACUCAUUUUUUAAAAUCAAAGUUAAAUUUAGGAUAUGCAUUAAUUAAACUGUAAAAGACAAGAAUUUUUAAAGGUAAGUAAAUUUAUUACUUCAGUGGCAUAUGAUUGUAAAUAAAAUGAAAAAUUGAGGGGUAAUUUAUAAGGGUACUUCUCUUUUAAUAAUAU
rnacentral:lncRNA from 1 species